AUCCAAAAUCUCCAAAAUUAUACUCUUCCAUCUAUAAAACCUAAAUCUCCUGCAAAGUAUAAAACAAACCAUAAAACGCACCAAUUUUCAGAAGAUUUAACUUAAAAUAUGCACAUGCAAACCCCUAAAAUUAGAACAAUUAAGCAUAAACCAAAUAUGGUUGAAGAAGAUAGGUGGGAGAAAUAACUAAUUAACUCACUAAUUUUGGUGGACCACACUCAAUUAAAACUUAACUAUCACUUUCUUAAUCUCCGUGUCGAAAAGAAAGUGGCUACAUUUAUUGGGAUGGAGGGAGUAUUAAGUAUACUAUUGAUAUAUAUUAAAUAUCAACAUUAAAAGUGUAUAGCUUACAUACCAUCUUGUAUUGGUAAUCCAUUUUUUCUACUUAAAGCAUCUCGAAGCACCCUUCCAUCAGCUGUUGAGCCUUCCCAACCCACAACCACAUAAAUAAAUUGCAUAUCUUGCGAACAUACUCCUAAAACAUUUGUAGAAGUAUGACCUUUUCUAUUUUGAUAUCUAGGUUACUUAAAUGUGAGUACCUUCAAGAGCUCAUAUGCAAUUUCUACAAAGUUAGAUCCAAUCAAUACAAAGAAUUUUUUUAUAAUUGAAUAAGAGAAAAAUUAAAGUGUUUUCGUUAUAUCUUAAAUUAUUUCCAUUUGACAUCAUUGGAAUCCUCAGCAACUGGCGAAGGAGCUUUUUGUAAAUGACCUUGUUGGAAACUUAAUGAAAUAUCCUAAUCCUAGUUUUGAUGAUAUCAAAAUCAAUAGGUUUCACUUGUAAUAGACUAAAACUGUUUGAACUCAAGUGUUAGAGUUCUUUUCUAGUUUUGUUGAUGUUCUGAAGACUGAAGACUAAAGCCGGAGGACUGAAGACUGAAGACUGAAGUUGCCGACUGUUGACGAUUUAAGGCAGAGUCAAAUACUGAUAUUUGACUAACCAGUCCAAGAAUCAGAUACGACUGAUUACUUAAUGCGAGCCACGUGAAUUCAACAAACUGAUACUAAAGUCAAGUAUUAGU
rnacentral:lncRNA from 1 species